UACGGGGGGGGGCAAGCGUUGUUCGGAAUUACUGGGCGUAAAGGGCUCGUAGGUGGCCAACUAAGUCAGACGUGAAAUCCCUCGGCUUAACCGGGGAACUGCGUCUGAUACUGGAUGGCUUGAGUUUGGGAGAGGGAUGCGGAAUUCCAGGUGUAGCGGUGAAAUGCGUAGAUAUCUGGAGGAACACCGGUGGCGAAGGCGGCAUCCUGGACCAACACUGACACUGAGGAGCGAAAGCCAGGGGAGCAAACUGG
rnacentral:rRNA from 1 species